AGAAGCGUCCCGGAAGUGACGUGAGGGCGGGGGCAGUGAGUGUGACGUCACUCCUGGUGCGCCUGGCGUCCCGCUCCGCAUCUGGUGGCGGACCGGCGUGCUGGGACAGAUCUUGUUAAGGGAGGACUCUCGGGACCGAAAGAAGCGGAAGGACGUCUGCAGAGAAAACGAUUGUCAUUUGACUUCCUACAAGAAGAGUCCAGAAAAACGAAGAUCCCGAAGCGGGCCACGAUUGGUCGCGCUUCCUGUGACGUCCAGGGCAGAGGCCAAAGGGAUUCCUUAGGGCAAUCUCGCGGGAAAGGGGGGUGCAGCUAGAUGUCCUUUACCUCUGUAUAUGGCACUUGUCGCUUCUGAAAUUGUUUCUGUUUCCUGAUCCUCCUUCAAGAUGAUGAUCUUAGGUCAGAGACUUUAAUUCUUUGUAACCCCAUGGCCUCACACAUAGUAGGUUCUCAAGUAUUCCCUGAAGUAAUACUCUGAAUUAACCUGCUCACGUAUGGAAAUAAUAACAAAAUCACUAGUGAAAAGGCCAGGCAUUUGUUAGACAUUAACGAUGUGCCAGGCACUGGAUUUAAUAUGCAUAAUCUUGCUCCUCAGAAUAGCACUAUGAAGUAUAUGUUAUGAGAAUGUUUAUUUUCCAGGUGAGAAAACAGGCAUUGGGUAAUUUGCUGAAGACCAGAGAUUGAGGAAGUAGCAAGCCAGGCACUUAAGUACAUUUUCUCUGCUCUUUUUUUUUUUUUUUUUCUGCUCUUAUAACUACUAUGAAGUAACAGUUUUGAACGUAUUCUUGUAGGUUUCCGCGAUGAUAUAAUCCUUGGCAAUUCACUAAGAAAUCUCUUCUACUUCUCUUUCAUCUUUUGUGGGAGAGAUACACAUCCCAAAACAUUAGGCGCAUUUAAAACUUGCAGGCUGUUCUAAGUGUUUUGCAAACAGCAACUCUAUGAGAUGCAUCCUCUUACUGGAAGUCAUUGCACUAAAACAUGUGAACAACUCCGAGGACGCUAAAAGAUAAACCUUGAAGCAUUGGAAAAUAAGUGAGAUGCUAAAUCAAAAAGAUAAUGUAAGGCUUAGAGACCAAUCACCUAAUCUAAAGCCUCAAGCUCUUUAUCAGCAAAAAUGUUUUGUGAAAGGGCAAGGAAGCCACAGACAUUCCUCAAUCCUCAAGCUAAGCAGUCGCCUUGAUUGGAAGGACCAGGCCUGUCAGCACUGGAACAAUGCAACUGAAAACCAAACACUGGAAUGGACAAAGAACAUCUCAGAAUCCUGUGGGGACCAGUGAUGCUAGGACCUGACAUCUCCGGCUUCCUAUCUUGGCACUUUAGAAAUUCCCGGACCUGAUUAACACAGGCCUGGGAAAGAGGGAGGGCCUCUGUUGAUAAGAUUAUUGUCACUGAGGCUGAGUGGGGGCUUGAAAAAGAAAUAAAACUCAGUUACGGAAAAAAAUUAUAUUUGUUACACAUUUGAGUUUGUAGACUAAAGUUCAUUCCUGCUACUCUGUUAUCUGUGAGUAUUCUAUAGUAACCAACAGUAUUUAUGUUUAGUAUUUAUAAGAAUUUUCUCUUUACUCAAAAAUCAUGAGGUUUUAUUCUUUAACAUUUUUAUUUGGUGCCUAUACUUGAGAAAAACAAACUGAGGGAUACCAAUAAACACUUCCAUGCCUGGCAUUGCCUCACUAGGUUAUGAGUUCCUGUAGAACAGGGUGCACACAUUUACUCUGAGUCUCCCAUCUGGUUAGUAGCACACACAAUGCUUGUAUUUAGUAGGUACUCGGUAAAUGUUCAAUGAAUGAGUCAUGAAUAAAAUAUGUACUGACAACUUUGGGCGUUGAUUCUCCUUGUUGGU